rnacentral:rRNA from 1 species
UACGUAGGGUGCGAGCGUUAAUCGGAAUUACUGGGCGUAAAGCGUGCGCAGGCGGCUUCGCAAGUCAGACGUGAAAUCCCCGGGCUUAAUCUGGGAAUGGCGUUUGAAACUACGGAGCUGGAGUAUGGCAGAGGGGGGUGGAAUUCCACGUGUAGCGGUGAAAUGCGUAGAUAUGUGGAGGAACACCGAUGGCGAAGGCAGCCCCCUGGGCCAAUACUGACGCUCAUGCACGAAAGCGUGGGGAGCAAACAGG